rnacentral:misc_RNA from 1 species
UACCAUUGUCUUGCUCCAUCCUUA